UUCCCAUUCCGAACAGAGCAGUUAAGCCCGUUAGCGCAGAUGGUACUACUAUCUUGUGGGAGAGUAUGUCGCCGCCUUGC
rnacentral:rRNA from 1 species